AGAGGGGGCAAGCGUUGUUCGGAAUUACUGGGCGUAAAGGGCGCGUAGGCGGCCCGCUAAGUCGAACGUGAAAUCCCCGAGCUCAACUCGGGAACUGCGUCCGAUACUGGCGGGCUUGAAUCCGGGAGAGGGAUGCGGAAUUCCAGGUGUAGCGGUGAAAUGCGUAGAUAUCUGGAGGAACACCGGUGGCGAAGGCGGCAUCCUGGACCGGCAUUGACGCUGAGGCGCGAAAUCUAGGGGAGCAAACGGGAUUAGAUACCCCGGUAGUCCUAGCCCUAAACGAUGAAUGCUUGGUGUGGCGGGUAUCGAUCCCUGCCGUGCCGAAGCUAACGCAUUAAGCAUUCCGCCUGGGGAGUACGGUCGCAAGGCUG
rnacentral:rRNA from 1 species